rnacentral:rRNA from 1 species
GAUGAACGCUGGCGGCGUGCCUAAUACAUGCAAGUCGAGCGAACAGACGAGGAGCUUGCUCCGCUGACGUUAGCGGCGGACGGGUGAGUAACACGUGGAUAACCUACCUAUAAGACUGGGAUAACUUCGGGAAACCGGAGCUAAUACCGGAUAAUAUAUUGAACCGCAUGGUGCAAUAGUGAAAGACGGUGGUGCUGUCACUUAUAGAUGGAUCCGAGCCGCAUUAGGUAGUUGGUCAGGUAACGGCUUACGAAGGCAACGAUGCGUAGCCGACCUGAGCGGGUGAUCGGCCACCCUUGAACUUAGCCACCGUCCCUGCUCCUACGGGACGCACCAGUCGGGAAUCUUCCGCAAUAGUCGGAAGCCUUACGCAACCACCGCGCGUCUAUUACGGCAGUCCUCCGUUCGUAAAACCCUCCUUUUAGUGAAGAACAACUGUCUAAGUAACUAUGCACUUCUUGACGGUACCUAAUCAGAAAGCCCCGGCUAACUACGUG